GACGAACGCUGGCGGCGUGCUUAACACAUGCAAGUCGAACGGAAAGGCCCUGCUUGCAGGGUACUCGAGUGGCGAACGGGUGAGUAACACGUGGGUGAUCUGCCCUGCACUUCGGGAUAAGCUUGGGAAACUGGGUCUAAUACCGGAUAGGAGCCAUCUUUAGUGUGGUGGUUGGAAAGUUUUUUCGGUGUAGGAUGAGCUCGCGGCCUAUCAGCUUGUUGGUGGGGUAAUGGCCUACCAAGGCGGCGACGGGUAGCCGGCCUGAGAGGGUGUACGGCCACAUUGGGACUGAGAUACGGCCCAGACUCCUACGGGAGGCAGCAGUGGGGAAUAUUGCACAAUGGGCGCAAGCCUGAUGCAGCGACGCCGCGGGGGGGAGGAAGGCCUUCGGGUUGUAAACGCCUUUCGCUAGGGACGAAGCUUUUUGUGACGGUACCUAGAUAAGAAGCACCGGCUAACUACGUG
rnacentral:rRNA from 1 species